GUCCAAUUGUAUCACGCCAGCUCUAACGUGAAGAACUGAGACAUUAUAUGAUUGCAUUGAAGGAUCGGUGUACUUCCUCCACCAGUGUGAACAACUGACACAUUGCAUGAAGAACAUACUCCGAAAGUGGCAACUCCACUCUUCACACGUUAUUAAUACAUUUAAAGAACCUCUUUACUAGGAACCUCUUCAGUGGAGUGUAAAUGAACUGCCCAAAGCUUAAACGAAGGAACAGUAGGGAGGAUAGGCGACCUUUUUUCCUCACACUGGAAGACUGUGUAGAAACCUUUAAGAUCACGAAGACGGAGAAGAUGAAGCUGGCUGCUCAGGACAUGUGGAGAUGUGGACAUCAGGAGAUGCCCUUCAGGCUCUCCAGUUUAAGAAGUCCUCUGGAUGAUAUCCUCAACCACUAGGCCUACUCUCAAUGAAGGCAUUGAUAUUAUGGAUGUUCACUGUAGCCCUAAAAUAUGUGUGGCCUACUUCAUGAUAGCUAGACCUUUCACAAAAUUGACACUGUCUGCAGAUUGUUGUUAACAUUUUAUCAUGCUAGUGCUAAUGUGAAUGUAGCGUGGUCAAGUUCAUGCUAGCACUAGUGCUGGUGCUAAUGUUAGCGUAGCGUGGUCAAGGUCACGCUAGCACUAGUGCUGGUGCUAAUGCUAGCGUAGCGUGGUCAAGGUCACGCUAGCACUAGUGCUGGUGCUAAUGCUAGCGUAGCGUGGUCAAGUUCAUGCUAGCACUAGUGCUGGUGCUAAUCCGUAGGGUGACCAGACGUCCCCGGUUUCAGGGGACAGUCCCCGUUUUUGGUUGCCUGUCUCAGAAAAAUGACCUAUGUCCGAGUUCUUUGACGAUAAAACUUGUGUGUAUUUCGAUCAGGUUGACAGUCAAACUGAAAAUGUCCCUGUUUUUUCCACAUUUUUGGGAUUAUGUCCCCAGUUUUGGUCUCGGACAUCUGGUCAUCUUAUGCUAAUGCUAGCGCAGCGUGGUCAAAUAGAAAAGGAUGGAAUGUUUCCGUGCACACAACUUACAAUGACUAUUACACAUGAAUAGUAAUUUACGUAAUUACGCACUUACGCAACUGUUCUACAUCACCAAGAUAGAGAAUUUUAGCCUUGCACCAGAGAAGGCUUUGGCAGCUUCAGUAAUCAAGGAUGUCUGGUAGUGUGAAAUCUGCAGUUAGUUCUUUUCCCCUUGGACUCAUAUGUGAGAGUACCAACCACGAGCACUUUUCAUUUUUUCGUAAACUAAUUUCUACAUUUGUAUUUAUUUUAUUUUUUUUCAGACAACAUAAACUGGGGUUAUGUGAAUGCAUUGUGGUGCACUAUUUGUAACAACAAGUAUUUACAGAAAUGCUCCAUCCUUCAUUAAAUGUUUAUUAAUAUACAAUAUCAUUGUCCAUAUUGCAAUAUGAUGCUUUUCAACAGAGCCUUAGAAUCU